ensembl:lncRNA
CGCGGCUGAGGCCCGAGGAGCCACCGGCGAGCGUGAUGCGCAGCUGAGGGCUGGGAGCUUUCGGCGUCGGCGGGCUUGUCCGCAUCCCCAGUAUCCCGCGGGUCGAAGGCCGGCGUCAGCGUCUUUACAGCCUCUAAAGGAUGAGGUCUGGGCGCACGGUCCGCUCGCCCUCAGCCACCACUCGGCGCCACCUGCAGCUCCUGGUGGGCCCCCAGCUCCCGGUCCGAGCAGGCUCCGCCUGCGGGAAGCGCGGCGCCGGACGCUUUCUCAGCCAAGGACGCCGGGACAGGCGCGAGCGGAAUCGAGGGCUAGCGGUUUGGUGACCCUCGCUUGGUUGUUCCGGAGCCUUUGAGGGAGAGGGCAGCACAGAGGAGACGGCGAGGGGCACCGGGCACCAGGGCUCCUCCAGCGCCCGAGACUAACCUGUGGCAGUGGCAGCAGUAGGCCCCUUGUGGGGAAACGCGGAUGGAACGGAGCCCUAAAUCCUGCGCUGUGGCUUUGGAGAAACAAGUUCUGAUUCUGUCUUUCACUUAAGUCACGUGGCCGGGGACACAUACCUCUCCUUCCUGAGGUUCCAGGGCCUCACGAUCCACACCAGAUGCCCACAUAGUGAGCCAGAGUCCUGUGCUGCCAGAGCCAUCUUUGAUGACUUCCACAUGACCCUGGGACUCCACCUUUCGGCUGUCCUGACCCCGCAGGGAGGGGUUGGCCAGAGAGCUAGCUGCACCUGGUACCCGCGAGUCUGAGUUCGGAUGAGCUACAUUGCAGGGCCCAGGGGCACGUGUGGCUUGGGCAGCACACAUCUAGCCCCUUGUUCACCUAACAAGCAAGGAAGAAAUCCUGAGACUGCUCGCUCCUGUGUGUGGCUCACAAUCCCACCCUUCUUCCUGUGGAAGAGGACUUAGGGGCAGGACAAGCGCCAUGGGGCAGAAGCUCAGUGCCCCUUCUCUCCUUCCAAAGCUGGGGAGAGUGGCCUGGAUUUCCCAUCAGGGCACUGGUCUGGGUGGAAAGCUGUAGUUUGCAGCCCCAGAUGGGGGGUUUCCUCCAGGCCCCUGUGCCUCCCAGCAGAGCCUUCGGCUCCUGGAGGGCAUGCAAUGGCCCAGUGGUCAGUAGAGGCAGGAUCACAGGCAGCUUCCUGAGAGCCAGUAGCCCAGCCUGGGGUACACACAUGGGGGAUCAGCAACCCUCAUACGAGGGCUCUGAAACUUAAAGCCAGAGGAGGCAUUGGCUGGGCUCUUCACCUACUAGGCCCUUUAGUCAUCUGCUGAUGGAGCAACCACCCUCAGGAGAGAGAACUGUGGGGAUGACAGGACCUGCAGCCUAAAGGACGCCCUGCCAGCCCUCUGUUCUCAUUCCUUGGGCUUUAACAGGGCCAGGUGGGAAUUGGGGAUUAUGCCUGCGUGUGUGAGUGUGUGUGUGUGAGAGAGAGAGGAGACAGAACAGACCAUGCUAUCUCCCCACUCCUAAACCUGCCCUGUUCUGGAGUAGAGGGACAAGGAUCUCUCUUCCUUGAAAUUCUAAACAGCAGCUAGACUCUUUCAGCCCUGCAGUGACUGCAGAGUUCCGGGUUGGCUGAGGUUAUUCUCAAUGGGAUGAGAGACCUGGACAAAGCAGAGCAGUUACUGCUGGAAACAAAGAGCUCAAUCAGCAAAGUUAAAAGCAAAACGAAAACACUUCCAGGUUUGCGUCUGCAGUGUGAAGACCCCUGGACGAAGGGGCGAGGUCUGGGGCGUUGCCAGGUCCUCCUCCCACAGGCAUGGGAGGUGCUUGUACAUGAGGGGUAUGGGACUCCAUGACAUUUCCAGAUAGUUCUGGAAGACUCUGUGAGCUGUCUUCGUGCCCAGCGCUGCUGUGAAGGGAGCCCUUACAGAUGCCAACCCUGCUUCCUAGCUGUAAACCUAGACAAGUUUUUGAAAAAUAUCUGCUGGACAUAGAAAGUACCGGUCAUUCAUUUGUGCUCUUGCUGAUUUCUGUUUCCUCAAGAGGUUUCCCCCAAAUGUCAUUGACUUUCAGUGAAGGAAGAGCCCCUUGCCCUGCAACACACCGCCAGGCCCAGGGAGGUGGAGCCUGCUUCCUCCAACAGCACUGUCUGACAGCCCCUCCCUGGGCCCCAACAGCACUAGAAGCACAAGUCCAGGAUCCCUGCUGUGGAUUUUUUUUUAGUUUUUUUUUUUGAGUCAAGGAGGCAAAAAAGUAACACACAAUGAAGACAAAAGGAAGAAAUGCCUGAAAAGGGACAUAGUGAUGCUUGGACAGUGCUCACCAGGGCCUGGCAUCAGAAGGGCCCGGCGGUUAUUACUGGCACAGAUGAGUUUCACUUCAGUUUCUUGGGGUGACAGGGAGAGAAGCCGCUAGAGGUACAUGAAUAGAGAAGGCGACAGCCCGGCUGCUUCCUUACCUCUGCAUUUCUUCAGGCUCUCUGUGAUGGCAUCAUGCCUUGAUUUCCUUUCCUUGAGUUUCUUCUCCAGAUCUGGAGGAAUCAACUCUGAGUCAAGGAAUUGAAACCCUUGACUCUUACAAAGACACAGCUGAGCUGGGGCUGAGGGGAAGGGAGGACAUGGAUGUGGACAGUGACAUGGAAAGGGGGGCGCGUGUGUGGGUGAACUGGGAAUGAGAGGCCAGAGCUAGGGAAAUGGGGCCAGGGAAGAGGAGACAUGGAAGUGAAAGUUAGAACAGCUGGAGAGAUGGAGGAAAGAGAGAGCAGGUGUCAGACCCCCCCCCCAGGUGGAAGAGAAAACUUGCCAGACAAUGCAGUUACACAUCCUGCAAGAUGCAAAGGAUAACAGGAAGCUAAGUUGGGUUCGAGAAAAGCAGCUUGACCCAUGCAGCAACAUCUGCGGGCCUAGAUACCCCUGGAGACCACCAGACGCCCUCCACCCUAGAUCAAAAGACUUCCUCCACUCCAGGACAAAAAUUUCCACUCCUCCUGGCAGCACCCCUCCCCUACCCAAAGUCCCCUAUAAAAAAGUUUCCCCUCACCCAAGCCCCCAGGGUCAAUGGCUUUGUCACCCUUGACUAGCCUGCACCCAAGCUGGAAAUAAAACCUAGCUUGUUGCUUCAUUUUUGCCUGCUCUGGUGGUCUCGGGCAUGCCUCAGUUUACCCUAACAGCAGGGGAGAAGGGAGAUGGAGUAGGGAACUUGGAACCACCCAGUGAAGCAAGGGGACACACAGGAGGCGCCAGGAAAUUGAAGACUGCUGAAGAACCAGGAAGCUAGAGAAACAGCUGUUUUCUUCACCAAGUGGCCCACAUGCUAAGGUUUUUGGCUCAGGCCUUCUGCACCCACAGCCUGGUUAGUGGAUUGCGGAGUCAGAAUGUGCAGAGCAUUUGGGGGAAUGCGAAGUGUGCUGCAGCCACAAACGAAUAGGUAGGCAUAGUGUGGGACAGCCUGUCAUAACUGCACAGUAUAACCUAAUGUCCUAGAAGAGAAAGAGAUGGCACAGCCUCAGGGCUUGGCUGCAUCACAGACCCCUGGCUGGGGGUCUCCACUUCCCCACCUCGCCUCCCACCCACCCUGGAGGGGAGCUCCAGAAGCGCCCGACACCAGGUGGACAGUGAAUGGAUUAGACCGGCAGAGAAUCCAAGCAAAGAGGAGGAGAGGAAAAUAAGAUUCGGAAGAUGACAUUCAUUUCACUGAACCUGGGGAGCCUUGCAAGCAGAAUGUAUGGAAGGCUGGAGAGGCUUUACAGGGUGUUUCUUAAAAGAAAGACUCUUGACCUGGUGGGGCUGGGAUGCGUGCAGGGGAGACCAGCUCAGCUUGCUUUGUGCACCACCACACCUGUACUGUCCAAUGUGGUGGCACCAAACAUGGUACCGACACCUCAAACAUGGCUGGAGCAACGAGGAACCACGUCUUAAAGUGAGUUUUCUCUAACUCAUAAAUUAAGAACUAGCAGGUCAUGGUGGUGCAUGCCUGUAAUCCCAGCACUCGGGAGGCUGAGGCAGGAAGAUCAUUGAAAGUUUGGGGCCAGCCUGGGAUACGUAGUGAGACCCUGUCUCAAAAACAAAAAACAAACAAACUCAUAACAGAAUAUAUCACUAAUAUUUAAAAACACUUACUGAGAUAGCCCGUAGUUCAGUCUCCUGAGUGCUGGGAUUGCAAGCGUGUGCCACUACUCCCAGCAAUAUUUUAAAAAUAGUGGGUACAGGGUGAAAUUGAUGACCUUUGGAUAUAUUGAGUUACAUAAAAUAGUUUACUAAAAUUAUUUCACCACUUCCUUUCUAUCUUUUUAUUGUGGCUACCAGAAAAAAAUUUAAAUUACGUAUGUGGCUUGCAGUGUAUUUCUGAAUCACAUUAUUGUGGCUCACAUUAUAUUUUAAAUUAAACACAUGACCCAUUUCAUAUUUCUGAUUUAUACAUGUGGUCUACUUUGUAUUUCUUUCUUUUUUUCUUUUCUUUUUUUUUUUUUUUUGGUACCGGGGAUCAAACUAGGAACCUUGCACUUUCGAGGCAGGCGGCAGAACCACUGAGCUACAUCCCCGGCCCUGUACUUCAUAUUUAGGAUUUACACCGGCAGCCCACUUCUUAUUUCUGUUUCUGUUUUGGUUUGGGUUUUGGUACAG